UACGUAGGCAGCAAGCGUUGUUCUGAGUUACUGGGCGUAAAGGGUGCGUAGGCGGUUGUUUAAGUUUGGUGUGAAAUCUCCCGGCUCAACUGGGAGGGUGCGCCGAAUACUGAAUGACUAGAGUGCGGGAGAGGAGAGUGGAAUUCCUGGUGUAGCGGUGAAAUGCGUAGAUAUCAGGAGGAACACCGGUGGUGUAGACGGCUCUCUGGACCGUAACUGACGCUGAGGCACGAAAGCGUGGGUAGCAAACAGG
rnacentral:rRNA from 1 species